rnacentral:rRNA from 1 species
GAUGAACGCUGGCGGCGUGCCUAAUACAUGCAAGUCGAGCGAACAGACGAGGAGCUUGCUCCUCUGACGUUAGCGGCGGACGGGUGAGUAACACGUGGAUAACCUACCUAUAAGACUGGGAUAACUUCGGGAAACCGGAGCUAAUACCGGAUAAUAUAUUGAACCGCAUGGUUCAAUAGUGAAAGACGGUUUUGCUGUGACUUAUAGAUGGAUCCGCGCCGCAUUAGCUAGUUGGUAAGGUAACGGCUUACCAAGGCGACGAUGCGUAGCCGACCUGAGAGGGGGAUCGGCCACACUGGAACUGAGACACGGUACAGACUCCUACGGGAGGCAGCAGUAGGGAAUCUUCCGCAAUGGGCGAAAGCCUGACGGAGCAACGCCGCGCGAGGGAUGAAGGUCUUCGGAUCGUAAAACUCUGUUAUUAGGGAAGAACAAAUGUGUAAGUAACUAUGCACGUCUUGACGGUACCUAAUCAGAAAGCCACGGCUAACUACGUG